UACGGAGGGAGCUAGCGUUGUUCGGAAAUACUGGGCGUAAAGCGCACGUAGGCGGCGCAGCAAGUCAGGGGUGAAAUCCCGGGGCUCAACCCCGGAACUGCCUCUGAAACUGCAGUGCUAGAAUCUUGGAGAGGCGAGUGGAAUUCCGAGUGUAGAGGUGAAAUGCGUAGAGAUGCGGAGGAACACCAAUGGCGAAGGCAGCUCUCUGGGACGGUACUGACGCUGAGACGCGAAAGCGUGGGGAGCGAACAGG
rnacentral:rRNA from 1 species